rnacentral:rRNA from 1 species
CCUACGGGGGGCAGCAGUGAGGAAUAUUGGUCAAUGGGCGGGAGCCUGAACCAGCCAAGUCGCGUGAGGGAAGACGGUCCUACGGAUUGUAAACCUCUUUUGGCGGGGAGCAAUGCCGGGCACGUGUGCCCGGAGGGAGAGUACCCGCAGAAUAAGCAUCGGCUAACUCCGUGCCAGCAGCCGCGGUAAUACGGAGGAUGCGAGCGUUAUCCGGAUUUAUGGGGUUUAAAGGGUGCGUAGGCGGAUUUUAAAGUCAGCGGUAAAAUGUCCGGGCUCAACCCGGGCCGGCCGUUGAAACUGGGGAUCUUGAGUGGGCGAGAAGUAUGCGGAAUGCGUGGUGUAGCGGUGAAAUGCAUAGAUAUCACGCAGAACUCCGAUUGCGAAGGCAGCAUACCGGCGCCCGACUGACGCUGAGGCACGAAAGCGUGGGGAUCGAACAGGAUUAGAUACCCGAGUAGUC